rnacentral:rRNA from 1 species
GAGGAGAGCACCCGGUCUAGGUUCUACCUUGUACUGGGUCUCGUCGCCAUGACGGAGAGAGAUGCGCGUCGUGUGCCCUUCUCGGGUGCACCGCCUUUUCUUUGCUCGAAUCUUUUUUUCUGGGGGAACGAGAUGUCCUUCACUGGACGUCUCGAGGAACCAGGACGAUUACCUUGAGAAAAAUAGAGUGUUCAAAGCAGGCUUCACACAUUGAUGCGCUUGGAUACGUUAGCAUGGAAUAAUAAAAUAGGACUUUGGUUCUAUUUUGUUGGUUUUAAGGACCAAUGUC